rnacentral:rRNA from 1 species
AACGAACGCUGGCGGCAUGCCUAACACAUGCAAGUCGAACGAGACCUUCGGGUCUAGUGGCGCACGGGUGCGUAACGCGUGGGAACCUGCCCUUAGGUUCGGAAUAACUCCCCGAAAGGGGUGCUAAUACCGGAUAAUGUCUUCGGACCAAAGAUUUAUCGCCUUUGGAUGGGCCCGCGUUGGAUUCGCUAGUUGGUAGGGUAAAAGCCUACCAAGGCGACGAUCCAUAGCUGGUCUGAGAGGAUGCUCAGCCACACUGGGACUGAGACACGGCCCAGACUCCUACGGGAGGCAGCAGUGGGGAAUAUUGGACAACGGGCGAAAGCCUGAUCCAGCAAUGCCGCGUGAGUGAUGAAGGCCUUAGGGUUGUAAAGCUCUUUUACCCGGGAUGAUAAUGACAGUACCGGGAGAAUAAGCUCCGGCUAACUCCGUG